UCUUCGCUAGUAUAUCGGUUAGUACACGCGCCUGUCAUUUUCGGUGGAAUCUGUGUUCGCGCGAAAGCUGGGUUCGACUCCCAGGCGAAGAG